rnacentral:SRP_RNA from 1 species
AGCCGGGUCCUGCGCAACGGAAAGUUACCAACCCCGUCAGGUCCGGAAGGAAGCAGCGGCCGUAACUACUUCCGUGUGCCGCAGGGGAGCCUGGCUAUC